rnacentral:rRNA from 1 species
UAAGACGAACCGUGCGAACGUUGUUCGGAAUCACUGGGCUUAAAGGGCGCGUAGGCGGGCGACCAAGUCCUGGGUGAAAUCCUCCGGCUUAACCGGAGAAGUGCCUGAGAUACUGGUCGUCUGGAGGGAGGUAGGGGCAGCUGGAACUUCCGGUGGAGCGGUGAAAUGCGUUGAUAUCGGAAGGAACGCCGGUGGCGAAAGCGAGCUGCUGGACCUCUUCUGACGCUGAGGCGCGAAAGCCAGGGGAGCAAACGGGAUUAGAUACCCCGGUAGUCCUGGCCCUAAACGAUGGGUACUAGGUUGUGGACUUGACAUGGGUUCACAGCCGAAGCAAAAGUGUUAAGUACCCCGCCUGGGGAGUAUGGUCGCAAGGCUG